AUUGAACGCUGGCGGCAGGCUUAACACAUGCAAGUCGAACGGUAACAUAAAGAAGCUUGCUUCUUUGAUGACGAGUGGCGGACGGGUGAGUAAUGCUUGGGAAUCUAGCUUAUGGAGGGGGAUAACUACGGGAAACUGUAGCUAAUACCGCGUAGAAUCGAGAGAUGAAAGUGUGGGACCUUCGGGCCACAUGCCAUAGGAUGAGCCCAAGUGGGAUUAGGUAGUUGGUGAGGUAAAGGCUCACCAAGCCGACGAUCUCUAGCUGGUCUGAGAGGAUGACCAGCCACACUGGGACUGAGACACGGCCCAGACUCCUACGGGAGGCAGCAGUGGGGAAUAUUGCGCAAUGGGGGCAACCCUGACGCAGCCAUGCCGCGUGAAUGAAGAAGGCCUUCGGGUUGUAAAGUUCUUUCGGUAGCGAGGAAGGCAUUUAGUUUAAUAGACUAGGUGAUUGACGUUAACUACAGAAGAAGCACCGGCUAACUCCGUGCCAGCAGCCGCGGUAAUACGGAGGGUGCGAGCGUUAAUCGGAAUAACUGGGCGUAAAGGGCACGCAGGCGGUGACUUAAGUGAGGUGUGAAAGCCCCGGGCUUAACCUGGGAAUUGCAUUUCAUACUGGGUCGCUAGAGUACUUUAGGGAGGGGUAGAAUUCCACGUGUAGCGGUGAAAUGCGUAGAGAUGUGGAGGAAUACCGAAGGCGAAGGCAGCCCCUUGGGAAUGUACUGACGCUCAUGUGCAAAAGCGUGGGGAGCAAACAGG
rnacentral:rRNA from 1 species